rnacentral:tRNA from 1 species
GGUGUUGUGGCUCAGUGGUAGAGUGCUUGCCUAGCAUUUGCAAGGAAGGCCCUGGGUUCGAUCCUUAGCACCA